rnacentral:lncRNA from 1 species
CUGUUCCAGCAGUGGCACACAUUAUUGGUCGGCUUGCUUUGAAAAUUAAAAUUAGAUUCCAUUCUGCAUGUCCCACUUCACAAUCACCUUUAAGUGCUUGUUUUUUGGCUAUAUUCUACAAAUUUAAAUGCACCAUAGAAGUGAAAGUGUAUACAGCAGCUGCAAUCUCCCAGUAGGUAUUUUCCCAAGCAGAUAUUCCUGGCAUUGAAAUGCAAGCUUAUUUAUUUCUCAUUUUCUUGUCACUAACUAACAGGGGGUGGAAAAAGGUCGUACUUGUAUGUACAAAGAGAAGAGCACAGGGCACAGUUUCAAUAUUCUUCACUCCUUUCGUGAGCUUCACUAAACAGAAAGACAGUACACAGAAGAGGGGACAUAAAUGUCCAAAUACUAAACAGGCACAUGGAUAUGAGGAGAGACCUCAGUUCCAUGUGAUUCGGGAUGAUUACUGGAGGAGAGGUUGAAAAGCCCUGCAAGCAAGAUACACAGCAGAAUUCCUCAUUUCUUUAUCCUGGCAGAACUUGGUGAAAAUUUACAGUCAGAUUUUCAUUAGAUAUUUAGCUCUCUGUUCUGGACACACAGACCUGAAGCACUUCAUUAAGGAAUUUUGAAUUAGAAGGUAAUGUUUUUUUGAUUGAUUGUUUUUUUGUUUUUACAGAUUUCUUAAGGAGAACUUUGUGUCUGUUUUUCCAUAGUCCUACUCCUGAAUCUUUGCUUUCUAGGACAUAGCCUUUCAGAGUCCAUCCAAGAAGCCAGUUUCUGGAGAUGAAUUAGUAGCUGUAGCUUGUUUAGUAGUUUGUAAGCAAAGCUGAAAACUGCACUUUCAAAGUAGGCAGUAUAUAUGGAAAGAAACAAAGGAUUACCAUGGUCCUGUAAUACAGGAGAAUUGUGAUUUUCUUUUUCUUCCUCUAAGGAGAUUUUGGACAAAGGGUAAGGAGAAUUGAAAUACUUUUAUUUCCAUUUUGAGUUCAUAUCAGCAUCUUCAAGUAAAAAUGAGUCAAAAUAGUAUUAUAAGGAAAUAUCUUUUUUAUUUUAUUUUAUUUUAUUUUAUUUUAUUUUAUUUUAUUUUAUUUUAUUUNNNNNNNNNNAUUUUAUUUUAUUUUAUAUUUGUGUGUGUGUGCGUGUGUCCUCAUCCUCUUGCUACUUUUAAUAUUUAGAACAGUUCUUGGCUGAAUGUGGUGUCUCAGGUAAAUACAACACAAAAUGUCUACCAUGAAAUGCUCUGGAUAACUUUACAGUCUUACUAAAACUUGAGUACCUAAUGGCCUUCAAUCCAUCAGAAGUCUGGAAUGGUGCUAAUGGCAACCUCAGUGAGUAAUUAUAUCCAAGGGGUUAAAAUCUAUUUCAGUGAUGCCUUCUGGUUAAUGGAAUUGAUCUUGACCAUUCUCUUGCAGAUAACCCUGCAUAGAAUUAUGCGUAGGGUCAAUGCAGUUCUUCUUGGUGCAUGCUUUACUUAAUUCUCCAACAGAAUGUACACCUUAGCUGAUAUACUUGAUGCAGUACAGUACAUGUAAAGAUAAGUAGUUCUAAUACAAUAAGAUGCAGAAAGACAAACAUAAAUUACUUUCCUGUGUGUGUGCAUAAACAUCUGCCUUCUUUUCUCCCAGUAAAAUCUUUGGAUCAAAACCUGAGCACACAUAAAUCUGUCCACCUUCAUGAAAGACAUGUCUGAUUUACAGCUUAAAACUCCUCAUUUUGCCUGUCAUUUGGCUGAUUUGUGUGUGGAAGACUUAAGGCAUGUAAAUACUACAGGCAAAUGUAACUCCCAAGUUGUACUUAACAGCUGUGCUAUGUGCUGUGUGCUGAAUGCAAGUUCUUAUUGAAUAUUCCAUUAAUUUCCUUGGGUAUGUAAUAAACGUGUACAAAGAAAUGGUGAUUUUCUCUUG